rnacentral:piRNA from 1 species
UGNGCAGAAUGGAGCUUCACAAGCAACAGG